rnacentral:tRNA from 1 species
UAGGAAUUAGCUCAGAGGUUAGAGCACCAGCCUAGGGAGCUGGGAGUCGCCGGUUCAACUCCGGCAUUCC